rnacentral:rRNA from 1 species
AGAGUUUGAUCAUGGCUCAGGACGAACGCUGGCGGCGUGCUUAACACAUGCAAGUCGCACGAGAAAGUGGAGCAAUCCAUGAGUACAGUGGCGUACGGGUGAGUAACACGUGGAUCAUCUACCUCUUGGUGGGGAAUAACCCUGGGAAACCGGGGCUAAUACCGCAUAAGCCUGCAAAGGGAAAGCAGCAAUGCGCCGAGAGAGGAGUCUGCGGCCGAUUAGCUUGUUGGUAGGGUAAUGGCCUACCAAGGCAAUGAUCGGUAGCCGGCCUGAGAGGGCACACGGCCACACUGGCACUGAAACACGGGCCAGACUCCUACGGGAGGCAGCAGUGGGGAAUCUUGCACAAUGGGGGAAACCCUGAUGCAGCGACGCCGCGUGAGCGAUGAAGCCCUUCGGGGUGUAAAGCUCUUUCGGCAGGAACGAUAAUGACGGUACCUGCAGAAGAAGCUGCGGCUAACUACGUGCCAGCAGCCGCGGUAAUACGUAGGCAGCAAGCGUUGUUCGGAAUUACUGGGCGUAAAGAGUGUGUAGGCGGUUCUCUAAGUUCCGUGUGAAAUCUCCCGGCUUAACUGGGAGGGUGCGCGGAAGACUGGAGGGCUGGAGUAUGGGAGAGGAAAGCGGAAUUCCUGGUGUAGCGGUGAAAUGCGUAGAUAUCAGGAGGAACACCUGCGGUGUAGACAGCUUUCUGGACCAUCACUGACGCUGAGACACGAAAGCGUGGGUAGCAAACAGGAUUAGAUACCCUAGUAGUCC